UUUGCGGUGUGGGAUGGGCCCGCGGCCUAUCAGCUUGUUGGUGGGGUAAUGGCCUACCAAGGCGACGACGGGUAGCCGGCCUGAGAGGGUGACCGGCCACACUGGGACUGAGAUACGGCCCAGACUCCUACGGGAGGCAGCAGUGGGGAAUAUUGCACAAUGGGCGCAAGCCUGAUGCAGCGACGCCGCGUGAGGGAUGACGGCCUUCGGGUUGUAAACCUCUUUCAGCACAGACGAAGCGCAAGUGACGGUAUGUGCAGAAGAAGGACCGGCCAACUACGUGCCAGCAGCCGCGGUAAUACGUAGGGUCCGAGCGUUGUCCGGAAUUACUGGGCGUAAAGAGCUCGUAGGUGGUUUGUCGCGUUGUUCGA
rnacentral:rRNA from 1 species